GGCGGUGUCUGACUGGCAGACCUCUGAAUCUCAGUCUGGUGGUCAUACAGUUGCCGACAUGCGAAUAUUCGACUUUCCCAAAGAGCUAUGCGACUCCCGUCUCAAACCAGACUUGUUCUCAAAUCUUUUCUUGUUGCACGAGCCCAUGCAGUGAGAAUGAGAGAUGAGCUGGACAGGAUCCUCUGUCCUAGGACAGAGCACGAGGAUUACCCAGAGUCUCUAGUAGAGACCAGCAGUCAAGCCCCGUGGAGAUAGAGGAGAGUGUGGAGCUUCAGCUCCUUUAUUAAGACUGCAAUGACCUGCUGGUCGUCAGGGACCGACUGAGUGCUCAGCCCAGCUGGCGAACAAGGAUUGGCCGGUCCAUCAGGAGCCUCGAGCCUUCAAGGAUAGAAGAGAUGUUAGGAUGCAUUGGGAAUGGAUGGAUGGAAUAUUACCUGGUCGACGUGGAGAACCUGAUGCUACUGAUUUGAUGUACCGGCAGGAGACGAAGGUUUUCCGUAUGAAUGUGGACCACAUAGAACUCCAUGUCCAGCGGAACCAGUUGGACCAACAGGAUGUGACGAAAGUCGUGGAGAUUGUAGAGAAUGUGGAGCACAGGGAGAUGGGAGAGCAGCAGGAGUGUCAGGACAAACUGGAGCAGAAGGCAUUGCAGGACUCGAGGCCCAUAAGGUACAUGUGGUGAGCAUGGACAACUC